GUGGGGAAUAUUGGUCAAUGGGGGAAACCCUGAACCAGCAACGCCGCGUGAAGGAAGAAGGCUUUCGGGUUGUAAACUUCUUUGACAGGGGACGAAACAAAUGACGGUACCCUGAAAACAAGCCACGGCUAACUACGUGCCAGCAGCCGCGGUAAUACGUAGGUGGCAAGCGUUGUCCGGAUUUACUGGGUGUAAUGGGCGUGUAGGCGGGACGGUAAGUCAGAUGUGAUAUGUAGGGGCUCAACCCCUGAACUGCAUUUGAAACUAUCGUUCUUGAGUGAUGGAGAGGCAGGCGGAAUUCCGUGUGGAGCGGUGAAAUGCGUAGAUAUACGGAGGAACACCAGUGGCGAAGGCGGCCUGCUGGACAUUAACUGACGCUGAGGCGCGAAAGCGUGGGGAGCAAACAGGAUUAGAUACCCUAGUAGUCC
rnacentral:rRNA from 1 species